AAGUGCGAUCGUUACUAUUAUUAAUGCACUCCAUUCCAUCACAACAUUUAAACUUAAACAUGCAUGCUUGGGUGAGAAUAGUAUUAAGACGGUUGAUCUCUUAGAAAGUUCUCCUAUUACACUUC
rnacentral:rRNA from 1 species